UAAGGUUUUAUCUUAAUUAAAGUGUCUGGGUUGCAUUCAGAAUAUGUAAGAUAAAAUUUUACAAAUCUUA
rnacentral:tRNA from 1 species